rnacentral:rRNA from 1 species
GACGAACGCUGGCGGCGUGCUUAACACAUGCAAGUCGAACGGAAAGGCCCUGCUUUUGUGGGGUGCUCGAGUGGCGAACGGGUGAGUAACACGUGAGUAACCUGCCCUUGACUUUGGUAUAACUUCAGGAAACUGGGGCUAAUACCGGAUAGGAGCUCCUGCUGCAUGGUGGGGGUUGGAAAGUUUCGGCGGUUGGGGAUGGACUCGCGGCUUAUGAGCUUGUUGGUGGGGUAGUGGCUUACCAAGGCUUUGAAGGGUAGCCGGCCUGAGAGGGUGACCGGCCACAUUGGGCCUGAGAUACGGCCCAGAGUCCUACGGGAGGCAGUAGUGGGGAACAUUGCACAAUGGGCGGAAGCCUGAUGCAGAAACGCCGCGUGCGGGAAGACGGCCUUCGGGUUGUAAACCGCUUUAGCCUGUGACGAAGCGUGAGUGACGGUAAUGGGUAAAGAAGCACCGGCUAACUACGUG